GACGAACGCUGGCGGCAUGCCUAACACAUGCAAGUCGAACGAUUACCUUCGGGUCUUAGUGGCGCACGGUUGCGUAACGCGUGGUGAUCUGCACUUAGGUUCCCAAUAACAGCUGGAGACGGCUGCUCAUACCGCCUGAUAUCGCGCGAUCAAAGAUUUAUCGCCUGAGGAUGAGCUCGCGUUGGAUUAGGUAGUUGGUAGGUUAAAAUCGUACCAGGCCGCCGAUCCAUAGCUGGGCUGAGAGGAUGAGCAGCCACACCGGUACUGAGACACGGCACAGACUCCUACGGGAGGCAGGAGUGGGGAAUAGUGCACAACGGGCGCAAGCCUGAACCAGCAAUGACGGGUGAGCGAUGAAGGCCGGAGGGUUGUAAAGCGCAUGUAACUGGGAAGAUAAUGACGGUACCGGGAGAAAAAGCCCCGGCUAACUACGUG
rnacentral:rRNA from 1 species